UCGAGAAUAUUCGACAAUGGGCGAAAGCCUGAUCGAGCGACGCCGCGUGCAGGAUGAAGGCCCUCGGGUUGUAAACUGCGGUAGUAGGGGAGGAACGCAAGUGACUGUACCCUACGGAAAGUGGUUGGUAACUACGUGCCAGCACCAGCGGUAAUACGUAGACCACAAGCGUUAUCCGGAUUUAUUGGGCGUAAAGAGCAUGUAGGAGGUCCGGUGCGUCUCUGGUUAAAGCCCACCGCCUAACGGUGGAAGUGCCAGAGAUACGAUCGGACUGGAGGAUGUGAGAGGUGCAUGGAACUCACGGUGUAGGGGUGAAAUCCGUUGAUAUCGUGGGGAACACCAAAGGCGAAGGCAGCGCACUGGCCAAAAUCUGACGCUCACACACGAAAGCUAGGGUAGCGAAGAGGAUUAGAUACCCCCGUAGUCCCUGAGCGGGCUGGCAAGGCGCAU
rnacentral:rRNA from 1 species